CGCACGGGUGAGUAACACGUAUCCAACCUGCCGUCUACUCUUGGACAGCCUUCUGAAAGGAAGAUUAAUACAAGAUGGCAUCAUGAGUCCGCAUGUUCACAUGGUUAAAGGUAUUCCGGUAGACGAUGGGGAUGCGUUCCAUUAGAUAGUAGGCGGGGUAACGGCCCACCUAGUCUUCGAUGGAUAGGGGUUCUGAGAGGAAGGUCCCCCACAUUGGAACUGAGACACGGUCCAA
rnacentral:rRNA from 1 species